CAUUAUCUCUAAUAUCCUAAGAUUAAAUUCAAAAAUCAAACUCCAUGUUUUGAAGGGAGCGUUUUCAGCACUAGGGCGUCUCUGAAGUGCAUCUGGAAACACGAGGAGAUUCAGGUAGAGAGGAGCUGUUUGCAAAAUGGCACCUGGCUCUUCUUCCUGACUCCUCUGCCGAGGACAGAGAGAGGACACUAUAGGGUACAGCUGUCUCUGGCCUUCACUUCCAACGAGAACAAGAACCAAUGAGCAAUGAGACCUGUUUAUUACCCAGUUUGUAACAUGCACCACGGUUGGAGUCACCAGAAUGCUGCAAAAUUUUCACUUAGAAUAAUUUUAAACUUACAGAAAAGCUACAAAAAUACAGUGAAGAACUCCUAUAUACCCUUCACCUGGAUUCACCGGAAUACUGAACAAGGGAUGCUGCGACCUUCUCCGUGUGUCACCUCAGGGGGCACGUGAUGCUGGUUUGUGCCAUCACUGGGGAUGUUACCUUCGAUCACUUGAUUAACGUACUAUCUGCCACGUUUGUUCAUUGUAAAGCUACUAUUUUUUGAGACGUAUUCUUUAAUGUGUCUCUAUUCCUACCUGAUGUGGCUAUUUCAGCUGACUUCACAAAGAGCCACGGGAUCAGCUAUGGGGUGAUUAAUAAUCGUAGCCUCAGUGGAGGUGAGACCCACGUGAGAUUCUGUGUGGUACUGAAGGACACAGAGAGACGACAUCAGCACUUACCCCACUGAUAAGUAACUUAGCUGUCAUCUCAGCAACACCACAGUAGUCAGAGCGCACCCUGCUUCCAAAGGAGAACAUGUAAAAAGAAAAAACAUAGGCCGGGCGCGGUGGCUCAUGCCUGUAAUCCUAGCACUCUGAGAGGCUGA